UCUGCGGCACAGCCGGAGGCGCGGCCCGGAGCCCGGCCGUCCGUGCCGGCUGAGCGGGGGCUGCGGGGCAGCGGGCGCGGGUUGGGGCAGGCGGGGUGUGCCAUGCCCACGUCCCGGUCUAAUGAUGGCUAUUGACAGGACAAGGGGCAACCGGGACAAGCUGGAACAUCAGAGAUUCCAAAGAAACACACGGAAAAACUUCCUUCCUGUUGAGAAGCUCAGCCAAUGUAUCACGUUCUGGAUUGUACUCUGAUGGGGCUCCCCACUCGGUUUCGCAGACUGACCUUGUGUAACAGCUCAUGAAUCAGGGACUUAUCCUUACCAGUGUUUGUGCCAGAGCUGAAGGCCAUGAAGCUGAGGGGAUGAGAACAUCUCUGAGGAGGAAAGGCUGUGAGACCCGGGGCUGUUCAGGUUGGAGAAGAGAAGGCUGACAAAGGAUCUUAUCAAUGCCUAAAGGGUGGGUGUCAAGAGGAUUUGGCCAGGCUUUGAUCUGUAGAAGUGGCAGGACAAGGUAUAAUGGGCACAAGCUGGAACACAAGAAGUAUCACUGGCACAGGAGACUGCAGCUCUGGGUGCUUCACCCCUGCCCCUCUCUCUGCUCUGCUGUCAGGGGUCCUGUGCUGGAGCAGCUCUGCUCUGUACCUGCGAGGGGCUGGUGCUGCAUGUUUGAAGGCUGAGAGCUGCCUGGGGGCGGUGGCAGCGAUUCAUAUGGGUCUGGGCAGACCUCCCAAAGGCGCAGUGUGAGGGGAAGCGUUUCUGAGCCCAUCAGGUUCGACACGGAAUCGUUGCCCAGGGCUGGACAGAAACAGACACGGCAACUGAUAUAAUAAUGAACAUAUCUUUAAAUAACGUUCAAUUCCAUAGUCACAGGGUCCUGUGUCUCAGCUGGGGAGAAACUGGCCCAGGAACUCCAUCUAUUCAAAAAAUAUAUAUCUUACUCCCCACCUGUAUGGGCCCAUGUCUCACCUAUUGUCUCCUCUAAUCAAGGGAGGAGUCACACACUGUGCACACACCAGGGUAUCUCGUGGGUCUGCCUACGUAGCCACGGAGAGGACAUGAGGAAGUCGAAUGGAAAGCUCACCCUGACCCUAUAGGAACAGGUAGGUGAGUUACAAGGGAAAACAGAAACAAAAGGGGAUUCAUCAUGGAAAACUGCUGCUUGGGAGCCACCCACGUGCAACACCUGAAAUAACUGCUUAGGGUCCGGAGGGAUGGGAUUCAGCUGGGUUUGGUUCAGUAUCAGGGUUACAGCUCUAUUAGGAAUGGCAUUGGGUUGAAUUGUGUAAUAUAAACAAACUAAUUCCCCACAUGGUUUCAUACAGCAUCUUCCUCUUUUUCUAUCUCUACCCUAGAACAGUUAUGUUUAAAUCUUUAUGAAUUCACAUUGCUAAUCCUUUGCACUGCAAGAGCAACAUCAUCCUUUCCAGGCAGGAUGGCUUUUUUCCAUCCCACCCCUUACACACAGUAAACCUGAGUGCUGCUCACCUGGAAGCCUUCAUGGCUCCCUGCAGCUUCUUCUGACUUUUCCCAGGUGUUGGUGAUAAGAGCAGUGGGAGGGAGCCGGGGUACAUGAAACACAGCCCCUGCUGAGGGAGCUCACUCAGCUCCUGGACUGCUCUGGAAUCAGAGCUCUGCUGGUCACUCUGUUGAGAGCCCAAGUGAGGUGAAGCACUUUAACCAGAUGCAUUUUGAUGUUUAGCAAAGCAGGGGUGGCUGUCUGAGGUCAGAGCUUCAGGACUGCUCACUGUUAAGUACAGUAUCUAGAAGAAAGCAGACUUGAAUACAUAUUUUUUAAGUUCAGCAAUUUUGUAUCGAGGGGUGACAAGAGAGGUUAAUGGUAGAUAUUUUUCUUCUGCACUGUCAGUCUCUGUGUGUGUGCAUUUGGCUGGGAGCUGCUCUGCCCAGGGCUGUGGAGUCAGGGGCAGGUGGAUUUGCACUCAGUGUAUUUUGCUGUGCCUGGAGUGUCUGUGCAGCAGUUCUGGAGUCCUGUAAGAUCACGUAGCUUGCAUCAGCCUGUGUGGGCAGUUUUUUUGGUAGCUUUCCAUGGACAACCAUUGAUUAGAACCCUUUGAGGUGGGGCUGUUCAGCAGUGGUGAAGCAGAUGGAACAUCAAACUUCUGUGUAAGGACUAAUGUUGGGGGGGGGGGUUCUUUAAUGGCAGGCUGGAUUUGGGCUCUAAAUCUCAUUACUAAAUGGGAAAUAGAGCUCUGGAAUUUUUUGUCUGUGGCUCUGCAUUGCUGCUGCCUUUUAGUUCCCUGUUUUAAUUAGUUCUUGCUUCCCUUAGUACUGCCUCUUUGAAAAUUCCCUUUCUACACCUCUUACUUUGUUGGCAUUAUUUCCUAUUUUUUUCCUCUCUUUUUCCUUAAUCAGUUCACCAGGUUCUAAAUAGUCUUUCUAUGCCUAAUUGUAUUCUUUGUUUUGUUAAAAAGGAGCUUUUUUUUCCUUUCGUUUGUGCCACUCUGUUUACAUUUUUGCCUGCUUUUUACUCGGUUGCCUGGUUUCAGAAUCUUGCCCUUUCAUUUCCCUAAAAGCCUGUUGCUUCUGAAAUGUUCUUUUGAUACCUUCUUUUUCCACUUCCAUGUUUUUAUAUGUAUCAAUUUCCUUUUCAUCCUUAGUGCCUCCCGUUCUUCUUGUUUAUUCUCAGGUCUCAUUUUCAGGGGACUGUCACUGUUUCUAAAUAAUCUCCUUAAACAGUGUUGCUUUUGAAGUUCCCUGUGUUUAUCUCAUUGGUCAUCUUAAUUGAGCACACUCACUUUUUACAUGUUCUGUGUCCCUAUUUACAUCACUAAGCCCCCUCAGUUUUUAGACCUUUUCUGCACCUGCCUUUUUUCCCUUUGCUGCCUUUUUGACAUGUUUCCCGCUCUCGAUUCCUGGCUUCUCAGGCGUCUCCCUGGCCCUGCUCCCGGUGCCCUGGGGGGGCGGCUGACAGGCGGCAGCGCCGGCCCCCGCGCAGGGUUUGGGUGACACAGAAGCGCGUUCAGAAGCUGCCGCUUUCCUCUUUGGCCCCGCUGCCAGCCCGGUGCGGUGCAACCUCCUGCAAAAGGAGCGCUCGGGGCUCCCGGGAGCGCCAGGCUGAGAGCAGCCCGUGCUGUCCGCUGCCAAAGCACGAACGGCCGCAGUCACCGUCUGGUGGAAGAGCCCUAAAGAGGUGGGCAGUGAAUGGGACGUCCCGUUGUAAUGGAGAAGGUCAUAUUCGUUAAUCAAAUCAUGAAAGCGUUGUUUUGCUUAUUUGCCGCUUGCUUAAUAAAUCUGAUCGAUGAGUCUCUUAAA